rnacentral:lncRNA from 1 species
UACUGCCUGUUUAAAGAGAGCAAUAUAUAUUAUCUGAAAAUUAGAAGUACCAUAACGUUAUACAUCAGCAAUAGGACAUUUUCAUAUGAGAUUUUUGUCUUACACUAGCAUCGUUCGUGAAUAAAAAUUUGUGUCGUCUAAUAAUUGUGAUGCAGAAAAAAAAAAAAGAAUAAUAUUUCUAAUGUCAAGGGAGGAAUUCUUAUCUCUCAACAAAAUUUUAAUAGGUUUAUAAUACUAAGCUUUUAUUUUGUCAAUGAUCUUUUGAAAUUAAACUUGAAAUGCUCAAGUUUAAAAUAAUUUUAC